rnacentral:rRNA from 1 species
GACUCUCGGCAACGGAUAUCUCGGCUCUCGCAUCGAUGAAGAACGUAGCGAAAUGCGAUACUUGGUGUGAAUGCAGAUCCCGUGACCAUCGAGUCUUUGAACGCAAGUUGCGCCCGAAGCCACUAGGCCGAGGGCACGCCUGCGCUGGGCGUCA